CAGGAUAUAUUUACAGCAUAUAAGCAGCCAUUUGCAGUCACGUAUCUUGGAGCUUCUCUUAUGAUUGUUUACCUUCCUGUUGCGUUCCUCAAAGACUGGCUUUGUCGGUACCUAGAUCGAAGACGCUCUAUUGUUUACCUUCCUGUUGCGUUCCUCAAAGACUGGCUUUGUCGGUACCUAGAUCGAAGAAGCUCUUCCAGAGCCAAUGAUGUCUCCUCUGUUGAGGUUGGUUCUCCUCUGAGGCAUAAAGUCAUUGAGAUGGGACUUCAAGGGACUAUCACUAAGAAAGACAGCGAGGAAGACUUUUCUUCCCAUGAGGAAGAUGU
rnacentral:lncRNA from 1 species